rnacentral:rRNA from 1 species
UACGAAGGGGGCUAGCGUUGCUCGGAAUCACUGGGCGUAAAGGGUGCGUAGGCGGGUCUUUUAAGUCAGGGGUGAAAUCCUGGAGCUCAACUCCAGAACUGCCUUUGAUACUGAGGAUCUUGAGUUCGGGAGAGGUGAGUGGAACUGCGAGUGUAGAGGUGAAAAUUCGUAGAUAUUCGCAAGAACACCAGUGGCGAAGGCGGCUCACUGGCCCGAUACUGACGCUGAGGGCACGAAAAGCGUGGGGGAGCAAACAGGG